UGGUCAAAAAUGUGCAUCGCAAUGAAAGAUCGCAGUAAAGAUAGGCCAACUAUAUACGAUCCGAUAUAUAUAUAGUUAAUAACUGCAAGGGUAUAUAAACUUCGGAUCCGCCCGAAGUUAGCUUUCCUUUCAUUUUGUUUAAUUUAUUUUACCCCACGCAAUAUAAUUAUUGGGAGAGAAAGUAGCGGCACCAAAAGAGGAUAAGGGCGAUGAAGUAGCAAACCUCAAGGCAGAGGUGAGCCUUUUGCGCUGCUCGUUGGAGGAGAGCAAUAAAAAGCUUACCGAACAAUUAAAGUCCAAUACAGAGCAAGUGGCGAAAUUGACAGCUCUCGUUGGGGUUUUACUCAAAAAGGAAAGGGGACCUGGAACUCUUCAAUUUGGAACGGGCGAUUAAGGAAGGAAACGUAGAUGCCUAUAUUCAAGCAAUAAAGUCAUUAUUGGGCAGGAACAAAUUGUCCAAUAGCUUAAAACUAAUUUUUUCCAAACAGAUUUUGGUGGACUUUAACAUUGACGGAGUAAAUGAAAAAAAAAUCAUUCAGGGCGUUUCCGAAUAUUUUUAACACAGUAAUCAAGGCCAUCGAGUUGCUGGAAGAUACACAACCGCCUGAAAAAGCAGUUGGGCUAGCGUUAUCAUGCAUUAAAAAUAUAUAUAGUAAAAAAAAAUAUAAAAACAAAGAAUAAUACUAAAAUUAUAUCAUAAAGGGUA